AUUCAGCUGACGAGUCCCAUAUAGGAUAAACGCGCGUCCUGGAU
rnacentral:hammerhead_ribozyme from 1 species